GAUGAACGCUGGCGGCGUGCCUAAUACAUGCAAGUCGAACGAAGAUCUAGCUUGCUAGAUCUUAGUGGCGAACGGGUGAGUAAUACAUAAAUAAUCUGCCCAUAUGACUGGGAUAACUAGUGGAAACGAUAGCUAAUACCGGAUAAGUUGAUUGGAGACAUCUCUGAUUAAUUAAAGUAGGAUUUCUACACAAAUGGAUGAGUUUAUGGCGCAUUAGUUAGUUGGUGGGGUAACGGCCUACCAAGACGAUGAUGCGUAGCCGACCUGAGAGGGUGAGCGGCCACACUGGGACUGAGACACGGCCCAGACUCCUACGGGAGGCAGCAGUGGGGAAUAUUGGACAAUGGGCAAAAGCCUGAUCCAGCCAUGCCGCGUGUGUGAAGAAGGUCUUCGGAUUGUAAAGCACUUUAAGUCGGGAGGAAGGGCUGUAGGUUAAUACCCUGCAGUUUUGACGUUACCGACAGAAUAAGCACCGGCUAACUUCGUGCCAGCAGCCGCCGUAA
rnacentral:rRNA from 1 species